AGCGAACGCUGGCGGCAGGCCUAACACAUGCAAGUCGAACGAACUCUUCGGAGUUAGUGGCGGACGGGUGAGUAACACGUGGGAACGUGCCUUUAGGUUCGGAAUAACUCAGGGAAACUUGUCCUAAUACCGAAUGUGCCCUUCGGGGGAAAGAUUUAUCGCCUUUAGAGCGGCCCGCGUCUGAUUAGCUAGUUGGUGAGGUAAAGGCUCACCAAGGCGACGAUCAGUAGCUGGUCUGAGAGGAUGAUCAGCCACAUUGGGACUGAGACACGGCCCAAACUCCUACGGGAGGCAGCAGUGGGGAAUCUUGCGCAAUGGGCGAAAGCCUGACGCAGCCAUGCCGCGUGAAUGAUGAAGGUCUUAGGAUUGUAAAAUUCUUUCACCGGGGACGAUAAUGACGGUACCCGGAGAAGAAGCCCCGGCUAACUUCGUGCCAGCCGCCGCCGUAAUAC
rnacentral:rRNA from 1 species